UAAUCUUGUUUUCCUCUGUUUUUUUGUUGAUAUUUAUAAUAAAGAAUCGCCCCUGAUGAUGCUAAGGUAGUUAGCGAAACGUUGGGCAAAGAAGUGGA